rnacentral:rRNA from 1 species
GACGAACGCUGGCGGCGUGCCUAAUACAUGCAAGUAGAACGCUGAAGGAGGAGCUUGCUUCUCUGGAUGAGUUGCGAACGGGUGAGUAACGCGUAGGUAGCCUGCCUGGUAGCGGGGGAUAACUAUUGGAAACGAUAGCUAAUACCGCAUAAGAGUAGAUGUUGCAUGACAUUUGCUUAAAAGGUGCAAUUGCAUCACUACCAGAUGGACCUGCGUUGUAUUAGCUAGUUGGUGAGGUAACGGCUCACCAAGGCAACGAUACAUAGCCGACCUGAGAGGGUGAUCGGCCACACUGGGACUGAGACACGGCCCAGACUCCUACGGGAGGCAGCAGUAGGGAAUCUUCGGCAAUGGACGGAAGUCUGACCGAGCAACGCCGCGUGAGUGAAGAAGGUUUUCGGAUCGUAAAGCUCUGUUGUAAGAGAAGAACGAGUGUGAGAGUGGAAAGUUCACACUGUGACGGUAUCUUACCAGAAAGGGACGGCUAACUACGUG